rnacentral:rRNA from 1 species
CACGUAGGGGGCGAGCGUUGUCCGGAUUUAUUGGGCGUAAAGAGCUCGUAGGCGGCUCGGUAAGUCGGGUGUGAAACCUCCAGGCUCAACCUGGAGACGCCACCUGAUACUGCUGUGGCUAGAGUCCGGUAGGGAGUGUGGAACUCCUGGUGUAGCGGUGAAAUGCGCAGAUAUCAGGAAGAACACCAGCGGCGAAGGCGGCACUCUGGGCCGGAACUGACGCUGAGACGCGAAAGCGUGGGGAGCGAACAGG